rnacentral:rRNA from 2 species
AAAUUGAAGAGUUUGAUCAUGGCUCAGAUUGAACGCUGGCGGCAGGCCUAACACAUGCAAGUCGAACGGUAACAGGAAGCAGCUUGCUGCUUUGCUGACGAGUGGCGGACGGGUGAGUAAUGUCUGGGAAACUGCCUGAUGGAGGGGGAUAACUACUGGAAACGGUAGCUAAUACCGCAUAACGUCGCAAGACCAAAGAGGGGGACCUUCGGGCCUCUUGCCAUCGG